rnacentral:rRNA from 1 species
AACCUGGUUGAUCCUGCCAGUAGUCAUAUGCUUGUCUCAAAGACUAAGCCAUGCACGUCUAAGUACAAACUAAAUGAUGGUGAAACUGCAAAUGGCUCAUUACAACGGUUAUGAUGUACCCGGGAGUUCCGAUGGAUAUUUCCAGUAACACUAGAAUUAAUACAUGCUCCUGCGUUUAUUAGUUUCGCACAGUCCGUCGCUGAGUCAUGGUAAACAGUUGAUCGACUCGACGUCCCGGAACAGUUUCCGCCCCAUCAGCUUCGAUGGUUGGGUAUUGGCCUACCAUUGCAACAACGGGUAACGAGGAAUUAGGGUUUGAUUUCGGAGAGGGAGCCUGAGAAACGGCUACCACAUCUACGGAUGGCAGCAGGCGCGCAAAUUACCCAAUGCAGACACUGUGAGGUAGUGACGAGAAAUAAUAAAGCGGGACUUCUGUUUCGCUAUUAUAAUGAGGAAUAACCAAAGGUCAUUCCGAUUAGCAACUGAUGGGAAAGUCUGGUGCCAGCAGCCGCGGUAAUACCAGCGUCAGUAGCAUAUAUA